rnacentral:lncRNA from 1 species
GGAACGGAAACAAUACUGCUGUGUGUGGCCAAGGUGUGGGUGGAGGGAAGCUAUGCCAUUUGGUGGAGGAACAUCACAUUUUGAAGGGAGUUGUAUUAGCUGAAGAUGGUGAAUUUGUCUGGACGAUGGCAUCAGGAGGUGAUAAGGUCAAGAGGGCGAAGCCCUCGGGAUUGGAAUCCUGCUGGCUUCAAAGGGAGCUGCCUGCACCCCACCCCGCAGAAGGACCCAUGGAGAGCUCACCAUCCAUCUACUGCUGACUUUCCUCAUUGCCAUGGCAAAGGAUCAAACAGAAGCAACUUGAGGGAGGUGCUGCCUUUGUUGGCUCACGGUUUUCUGGGUUCAGUCUGAUCUGGUGGAGAAAGCAUGGCGGAUGUCUGGAGCUAGUGGAUAAACUUGUUCAGAUCUUUGUGGAUGGGGAAGCAGGGCUGAGUUCUAUCCCUCCA